rnacentral:rRNA from 1 species
GACGAACGCUGGCGGCGUGCUUAACACAUGCAAGUCGAACGGAAAGGCCUCAGCUUGCUGGGGUCCUCGAGUGGCGAACGGGUGAGUAACACGUGGGUGAUCUGCCUUGCACUCUGGGAUAAGCUUGGGAAACUGGGUCUAAUACCGGAUAUGAACUGCCUUUAGUGUGGUGGUUGGAAAGUUUUUUCGGUGCAAGAUGAGCUCGCGGCCUAUCAGCUUGUUGGCGGGGUAAUGGCCUACCAAGGCGUCGACGGGUAGCCGGCCUGAGAGGGUGUACGGCCACAUUGGGACUGAGAUACGGCCCAGACUCCUACGGGAGGCAGCAGUGGGGAAUAUUGCACAAUGGGCGGAAGCCUGAUGCAGCGACGCCGCGUGGGGGAUGACGGCCUUCGGGUUGGAAACUCCUUUCGACAGGGACGAAGCUUUUUGUGACGGUACCUGUAUAAGAAGCACCGGCUAACUACGUG